rnacentral:lncRNA from 1 species
AACAUGUCUUCUUUCCACUGUAUACUGGAAUCAAAUAAAACAGUAUCUGUAAAUCAUCUAGGUGGGCAAUCAGACUUGCUCAAUUAAUGUUAAUUCCAUGUCAGUUGAAACAACAACAAUAAAGGAGACCAAACAUGAAGACUGGUAACCACCUGCUCCUGAGGUAUUGGUUUUAACCCAUUUUUUGUUUUGUUUUGUUUUGUUUUUUUAGAACAGGAAGGAAAUAAACAAAUGGAUACCUAGUGGGGAGUAACAGUGCUUCACUGAUGCAUGAGCUCCACAAACCUUCUUUGGGAUGGGGAUGCAAAGGAGAAGAGGACUCUGCUACUGUGUGGAGGACUGCAUUGCCUGCCCAGCCUUCUGAUGCACCAGGGCACUUACUGGAGUUCACGCGCAUGAUUAUGAACUUACAAGGAGCAAGACAUUUUAAAACGGCAGAAUCCAGCUUCCCAGCCAAGGAAGGGACGUAUGGCAUCUCCCUGAGUGCCGGGACUGCACUGUCCGAGGCUUAAUUUUUUCUCAAUCCAAUUGUUUCUGUUACUUCCUGCCUCCAUUUCAGCUUCUCCUUGAAGCUCCCAGAAACUGUGGAAAUAGAGGUCCUGAAUGUAAGAUACUUCGAUCACUUCUCCUUCCUGUGAAUCUCUACACAGUGGACAAUACCCAGAGGUGUGAUUAUCUCCAUUUUAAGGAUAAACCUAGAGCUCAGAGAGGCUAACUUAUUGCUCAUGAUCACAUAGCAAGUGAGAGCAGAACUGGAGUAGAGCCCAUGGCUCUCCUCCUUCCAGCCUAAGCUUCAGCUCCAGGGCAGUAACCUCACUGGACAGCCAUUGUCUGUAUUUGCUGUUUCCUUCACUGGACCAUUAGUUCCCUAGGAGAAGGAAUCCUGGUCUUUAUCUUUGCAUUCCCAGGCUUGGCUCAGUGUCCAGAAACAUGGGAGAUACUCAGUGGAUGCUUUUUCAAAGGAUGAAGAGUGGAUAUGAAGCCAGAAGCUCUACCGAGUGUUUUUUUAUUUGUUUUGUUUUGUUGUUGUUUUUUUUUUACAUACAUAAUCCUUGAUUUUCUAAACACCCCGAGAGGCAGCUGUUGUCCUCAUUUCCUAGCUGGGACCAUUAAGGCUCAGAGAAGUUAAGUGACUUGCCUAGAUUCACAGAGCUCGCAGGUGGCUGAGAUGAAACUCAGACCCAUGUAGUCUGCCUGUAGAACCCACACUGCCUCUCGGCACAGAUGGGAUGAACAGUCUGGAUAGGCAGGACAGUGGGCAGAGGGACUGUGGGGCCUCCCUUCCNNNNNNNNNNNNNNNNNNNNNNNNNNNNNNNNNNNNNNNNNNNNNNNNNNNNNNNNNNNNNNNNNNNNNNNNNNNNNNNNNNNNNNNNNNNNNNGUUUGGAGUGGUCUCUGUCCAAGGGAAGCUGCAGUGGGUGACUGAGCUUCCUAAGCAGGAAGCAGUUCUCAGCCCCUCUGCCCUCCUUUCAGUCACAAACUUACAAGCACACAUUUGUUGAAUGACUGAAUGACCAGCCCUGCUGAUGACUCUGCAGUUUAUUUACCCCUAGAACUGGACUUUCGCCUGCUCAUUCUUCAUCAACUUUGGGGACUGUUCUUUUCUGCCUAACCUCAGAUUGUGGGAUUCCUUGAAAUGCUCCCUGAACUCUCUUCUCAUUGCUACACCUUUUCUGGAGGGCCACAUUUCUAGGGAUGGCUUCAAUUACCCUUUAUGUGCAGGUAGCUCUCCCACAUGUCCAGCUCAGACCUCCCUGCUGAAUUCCUACCUUCAUAGUUUUCUACCUGAAUAUCCAGGAGUUAGCUCAUCUCUAUACUUCAAAAGCAUUUACAUCAUUUCCUUCCCAUCUCAGACAGAAGGACUGGAGCCAUCAGUCGCCUGGCUGCCCAAGCCACAGACUCAGGCUCGUCCUUGACAGUACCCACCCCCAACACUUUCCCACAUCUAAUUUCUCCUUGAAUAAUCUCCAAGAUCUGGUGCCAGCCUUGUUUAUCCUCUGGAUUCCUCAGUAACUUCCCAGAUGAUUCCAUGAGCUCCAGUCUCCUCCUGUACAUCCACUCCAUCCAGUCUCCAUAGAGGAAUAGGAAAAAUCUUCUAAGUCACAUAUCAUUGUGACAUCCUAGAACCCUAGGAUUGAGUCUCCACUGCCACCUUCUUUCAUCUCAGCAUUCUGCCUCCUGCCAGCCACCAAGCAUUCACCACUACCGAAGGGAUCAUGAGGCCUCUGGACAUGCCAUUCCCUGGGCUGGGAUUCUCUUCCUUUACUUCUGCACCUGCCAAGCCGUCAUUAAGCCUUCAAGACCCAGCCUUGACUCUCUCCCUUCCUAAAAGUCAUUCCUGAUCUUAAAGGCUGAGCAAGGGCUUCCUCUUUGGGCAUCCCCCCACCACCCCUGCCUCCCUCUUUGAUAAUAGCCUCCAUGUCUGGGCUGUGGGGUCUGCCCAGGAUGGGGACAACGUGUGAUGUAUUGGUGGCCCCGGUGCUUAACACAGGGAGGAUCCAUGAAUGUCCAUCAAUCAAAUCUGAACCCUGGACCAUUGGAAGAAAAACAUAGCCUCUUCCCUUUGCCUCUUGGCUUUAACCAGCUGUGUUAUGAUCCUGUCACCUCCCACCCCUGUACCCAGUUGUCUCAUUUGCCUUGUUCUGACAUAGGAACCCCUGCCUUGGCACAUCCCUCCUGCCCCAGUUCAUGGUGAUCACCUCUUCCCUGAGGCCCUCCAGGACUAUACCAGCACCCAAGGUCCCCCAGGGUCCCAUUUCAAGGCCCUGGGAUAAUUCUCCAUGAACAGUUCUUCCCUCAGCCACACUGGGGGCCUCAAAUUCAUUUCUUAGGACAUAAGAAAUUUCACUGAAAGGUUAAAAAUAAAUAUUAGAUAUGAAAUUCCUUGGAGAGAAAGAACAUUUAGGCUAAGUUCACACUAAGGUGUAAAUGGCCAGCAUAGCAUAUUGACCUGGGCAUAGUUGUGGACAGGUGGGAGAGAGUCAGGGGCUCCGGCUGUGUACAAAGGGACAAGAACCAUGGGAUAGGGAAGGGACACUGUCAGGCUGCCUGGCCUCCACCAUACACGUCUUACCUGCAUCACUUACCAGUGUGUGUGUGGGUCCAUCCUCUAGAACAACAAGAGAAGCUGAACAGUUGGCUUCUUGGUCCCAUAAUGUCAGCAAGGAGCUAGACACACAGUGGGUGCCCAAUAAAUGCCCAUGGCUGUCUUGUCAGCCCAGAGCUUAGCUGACUGCCUGCCCCUGCUAGGGGCAUUGCCAUGAGCCACCUCCUGUGGGAGAUGGAGAGUGUUUGCAGCAGGACAGGGUGGGGGUGGGGGGAAUCCUUCCUGGUUUCUCUUGAGGCUCUGACGAGCUUCUUUCCCAUGACCUCCCUGCCCUUCCGGCAGGCACACUAAUAGUCUAUAGGAGGAAGUCCCUAGGCAGCAAGGGAACAGAAGUUUGAAAGUCAGAGCCUCACUGGGAACUGUGAUUUGCUAGAUGGUCUGAGGCAUCUUCUCCUCGGCCUCCAGCAUCCCUGGUGCCUUAUACUCAUGAAACAAAUGUUUAUGUAUAUGCCGAGCACCUACCUAGGUGCUGGGAUUCAGCAGUAAACAGACCAAAAUCUCUACCUAUACUGAGCUUAUAGUCUAGUCAUUUUGGAUGGGGUGGGGGAGGCAGAAAUAAAGAACAAAAAGGUCAAAUAUAAUAAUGUAUUAGAUAGUCAUAAGCAUUAAGAAAAAAAAAUAAAGCCAGGAAAGGAGAUAGGAAAUAUCUCGUGGGAUGGAAGGCAAAUAGGAAUUUUAGACAGGGGCUGGGGGUUGAGGGGCCUCAGAGAGAAGGUAAUUUUAAAAAUUUUUUUGGUUUUGUUGAGGUAAAGUAUACCCACUAUGAAAUUUUAGCCAUUUUAACUGUACAGCUCAGUGGCGUUCAGUACAUUCAUAUUAUUGUACAACCACCACCACCAUCUCUAGAACCUUUUCCUCACCCCAUAUUGAAACUCUGGACCCAUUAAACAUUAACU